rnacentral:rRNA from 1 species
GACGAACGCUGGCGGCGUGCCUAACACAUGCAAGUCAGCUUGACUGAAGGAGCAAUCUGACAGUAGAGUGGCGCAAGGGUGCGUAACGCGUAAGUAACUUGCCCCAAGGUAAGGAAUAACGUCGAGAAAUCGGCGCUAAUACCUCAUAAUGCAGCGGAUCCGCAUGGAUAUGUUGUUAAAGGUUUACCGCCUUGGGAUAGGCUUGCGUCUGAUUAGCUAGUUGGUGUGGUAACGGCACACCAAGGCUACGAUCAGUAACUGGUCUGAGAGGAUGAUCAGUCACACUGGAACUGAGACACGGUCCAGACUCCUACGGGAGGCAGCAGUGAGGAAUAUUGGGCAAUGCUCGAAAGAGUGACCCAGCAACGCCGCGUGGAGGAUGAAGGUAUUCUAUAUCGUAAACUCCUGUGAGAGCAGACGAAAGACAGAUUAUUAAUCUGGAUGACUGUAUGCUCAG